GCUCUGCCAACUCAUGAAACAAGCCUGUUUGUCCCAUGACAUACUGCAAAACACCAGGUGCAGUAUAAAGAGCUCACACAGAGCCUUGAUUCUGUUAAACAACUGAUCCACUUUGCACUUUCCUAACACAGCAAAUUGUCACAUCCAUAAACAUCGCCUUCUCAGGCAAACACCCACCGAGAACACCAGAGAGGAAUGAACAUUUGAACAAAUCCAGAUGCGGAGUAUCCAAUCCACCACAAUCCCACAUGGUCUCACAAAGCUGGAGAUCCUGCCCUUGAAAGGGCUGUGCUGCUUCUUGUAAACAGCCUAAUCCAGGCCAGGUUGGCUCAUUUAUAGCAGAUUGAGUUUGAUGUGCUAGGAUGUGACAGGUGGACCCCCAGGACCGGAUGUUGUUUGUGGGGGUGGGAUGGGAGGCUGGGAGGCAGGGAGGGAGAAGAAGAAAUCCCUCCUGUCAGUCAACUACUAAUGUCAGAAGAAUUCAUCCAAUCCUCCCUCUGUCAGUCUCUUUAAGUUACGUGUUUGCUGGCUACUAAUAUGUCAUCUCAAGAUUAUCUCCCACUAUCAGCAGCAGGAUUUUCAAGCCAUAGAUAGUAUGAAGACACAGAUACAACGCGUAACAAGAUAGCAUAGGUCCGUGGAUGCCAGGCAGAACUCAGGCUCACUCCAACGUGGUUUUGAAGCACCUGUGCAGAAAUACUAGAGCGAAGCCACAAAUGGUACAAUGAAAAACUGAAUGUUUUUCCAACAGAAAAGAUAUUGGGACUGUUAUAAAUAAAAUAUGUUUAUGGCGUAGUGUUUGGUGUGUACGUGUGUGUAAGGGGGCAGUAACUAGAUAGUACAGUAGAUUACAACACCCUCCUGUCAGCUAUGCGACUUGAGUUCAU